rnacentral:rRNA from 1 species
UAGGGAAUCUUCGGCAAUGGGGGGAACCCUGACCGAGCAACGCCGCGUGAGUGAAGAAGGUUUUCGGAUCGUAAAGCUCUGUUGUUAAGGAAGAACGAGUGUGAGAAUGGAAAGUUCAUACUGUGACGGUACUUAACCAGAAAGGGACGGCUAACUACGUGCCAGCAGCCGCGGUAAUACGUAGGUCCCGAGCGUUGUCCGGAUUUAUUGGGCGUAAAGCGAGCGCAGGCGGUUAGAAAAGUCUGAAGUGAAAGGCAGUGGCUCAACCAUUGUAGGCUUUGGAAACUGUUUAACUUGAGUGCAGAAGGGGAGAGUGGAAUUCCAUGUGUAGCGGUGAAAUGCGUAGAUAUAUGGAGGAACACCGGUGGCGAAGGCGGCUCUCUGGUCUGUAACUGACGCUGAGGCUCGAAAGCGUGGGGAGCGAACAGG